UUUUCAUACGUAUCUUUAGGUUUUAGAUUAGUUUCGUGGACUCUUGUCCUACGUUUUUAUUUGGGUUACAAUCUUUCUGUCAACGUGUAUUGCGUUCAAUCAAGCUGAUGACUUGAGAAUACAUAUCUCAUCUAAAUGAGAUUAAAGUGAUAUUAUUAAUGGCCAUAUACACUUGGGUUGUUUUGGUAAAUUGAUUUUUUGUAACAAAAAUUUUCGUACAUUGUUGGUCUGAAGACUAAACAAUUUAUGAUUUAUCGAUUCUCUAUAUAUAUAUAUACCACGUGAAUAAUCUUCUUUCUUUCUUAUCGCUUCGUUUUCUCUCUGCUCCUGCACUCCCGUCCGAACGCGUGAAUUCCGACGACCGGCGCGUGGUGGCUCUGUCAGCACCGGCGCCGGUCCCAAUCUCUGUCUUGCUUCAUCGUUGUCUGGUUGUAGUUUGAUUUUUGAUAAAAGCUCCGAAUCUGGUGAUUAACGGUUUAUCUAAAUGGGUAGAGGUUUCUAUGGAUUCCUAUGAUCCGUCUUUAUGCCGUUUGUGGCCUGUGCUCAUUGUGCUCCGGAUUUGGUGGGCUUGGCUCCUAGUUUCUUGUUCAGAUCUCGUGGAGAUUUGAUUUGGUUGUGGCUUCAUUCCUUGGCGUUUAUCAGUCGUGUGUACGACUCAGCCGUGUCCGGAGGUUGACAGAAUCUGAGAGAUUCUUCCUUGCCGGUUUGUGAAGCUUGUGUUACUUGGGUUCUGAGGUGUUUCCUCGUUGUACUAGGAGGGAGUGGUUUUUCGGUGGUUUGGCCAGGGGCAUUCACGUUAAACAGCUUUCAUAGAUUUUCUAUCAUUUAGAUUUCUUUGUUUUGUCAUGAGUUCUACCUGCUGUCUACGAGUCUUGUUACUUUGUUUGAAGUGUUAGUCUAAAGUUGCCCUGGUUUGUUGUUGUUUGGGCUUAUGCAUCCCUUUAUGGGUUUUAGUUCCGGAGAUAUUGUGUUGUCUGCCGGCUUAGCUAACCACGGACAUUCCUUCGUUC